rnacentral:rRNA from 1 species
UACGGAAGGCAGCAGUGGGGAAUAUUGCACAAUGGGCGAAAGCCUGAUGCAGCUAUGCCGCGUGUAUGAAGAAGGCCUUAGGGUUGUAAAGUACUUUCAUCGGGGAGGAAAAACAAAACUAAUAAUUUUAUUUCUUGACGUUACCCGAAAAAGAAGCACCGGCUAACUCCGUGCCAGCAGCCGCGGUAAUACGGAGGGUGCUAGCGUUAAUCAGAAUUACUGGGCGUAAAGAGCACGUAGGUGGUUUUUUUAAAGUCAGAUGUGAAAUCCCUGGGCUUAACCUGGAACUGCAUUUUGAAACUGAAAUACUAGAGUAUCGUAGAGGGAGGUAGAAUUCUAGGUGUAGCGGUGAAAUGCGUAGAUAUCUGGAGGAAUACCUGUGGCGAAAGCGGCCUCCUAAACGAAUACUGACACUGAGGUGCGAAAGCGUGGGGAGCGAAACAGGGAUUAGAUACC